rnacentral:rRNA from 1 species
UACGAAGGGGGCUAGCGUUGUUCGGAAUUACUGGGCGUAAAGCGCACGUAGGCGGAUUGUUAAGUCAGGGGGUGAAAUCCCGGAGCUCAACUCCGGAACUGCCUUUGAUACUGGAUGGCUUGGAUUUGGGAGAGGGAUGCGGAAUUCCAGGUGUAGCGGUGAAAUGCGUAGAUAUCUGGAGGAACACCGGUGGCGAAGGCGGCAUCCUGGACCAAUAUUGACGCUGAGGAGCGAAAGCCAGGGGAGCAAAC